CUUAAAAGAUUUAGAUGCACUAUUGUAAAGUGGCUGCUCCACUGGAUGUCAUAAGGUGAAUGCACCAAUUUGUAAGUCGCUCUGGAUAAGAGCGUCUGCUAAAUGACUUAAAUGUAAAUGUUCAGGAGUCUUAUGGCUUAGGGGUAGAAGCUGUUUAGAAGCCUCUUAGAACUAGACUUGGUGCUUUGAUACUGCUUGCCGUGCGGUAGCAGAGAGAACAGUCUAUGACUAGGGUGGCUGGAGUCUUUGACAAUUUUUAGGGCCUUCCUCUGACACCACCUAGUAUAGAGGUCCUGGAUGGCAGGAAGCUUGGCCCCAGCUAUGUACUGGACCAAACAAACUAACCUCUAGUGCCUUGCGGUCGGAGGCCGAGCUAUUGCCACUCCAGGCAGUGAUGUAACUCGUCAGGAUGCUUUCCAUGGUGCAGCUGUAAAACCUUUUAGGACCCAUGCCAAAUAUUUUCAGUCUCAUGAGGGGGAAUAGGUUUUGUCAUGCCCUCUUCACAAAUGUCUUGGUGUGCUUGGGCCAUGUUAGUUUGUUGGUGAUGUGGACGCCAAGGAACUUGAAGCUCUCAACCUGCUCCACUACAGACUCGUCGAUGAGAAUGGGGGCGUGCUCGGUCCUCCUUUUCCUGUAGUCCACAAUCAUCUCCUUUGUCUUGAUCAUGUCGAGGGAGAGGUUUUUGUCCUUGCACCACAGGUUUCAGAAGAAUUCCUGACAGGUCUCUGAACUCCUCCCUAUAGACUGUCUCGUCGUUGUCGGUGAUCAGGCCCACCACUGUUGUCAUCAGCUAACUUAAUAAUGGUGUUGGAGUCGUGCUUGGCCACGCAGUCAUGAGUGAACAGGGAGUACAGGAGGGGACUGAGCACACACCCCUGAGGGGCCCCCGUGUUGAGGAUCAGCGUGGCGGAUGUGUUGUCACCUGCCCUUACCACCUGGCGGCAGCCUGUCAGGAAUUCCAAGAUCAGCAAAGUUCUGUUCAGCAAUGGGAAGGAUUCGCACACACAGCCAACAUCAGCUGGUGAGCGCAAGCAAUGAGUGUGGGCAGAAAAGAAAGGCUUCGCUCCAGAUCUGAUUAUACACAUCGAGCAGGUGACUGUCUUGCUUCCCUGCAGCUAACCAGUUACCACCAGCCAGCCUACCCUUUGCCUGGUUAAGAAACACAAGCUGCUUUUUGAAAUUUAAAAACAAUAGCAGCAUUGAGUUUAAUAGUUAACAACAAUCGAGCUCUGUUUUUCUCUCCCUUGAGUUUAGAAAAGUAGGCUGUCUUUGCAUUUGUAGUCUCACUCAACCCUCCCACUUUCCCCACUGCAUUUCAUAGCCAGGUUACGUAGCCAAAUCUCCCUCUUUUACCCAGAAAAUGGCUUGAGAGAUUAACGCACAAAAUAAAUUACCCAUAAUAGCG